GCCUAGCCCUAAACAUUAAGCAACUACUUACAGCUUUGCUUGCCAGGGAACUACGAGCACCAGCUUAAAAUCCAAAGGACCUGGCGGUGCUUUAAACCCCCCUAGAGGAGCCUGUUCUAGAACCGAUAAUCCCCGUUAAACCUCACCCUCCCUUGUUCCUUCCCGCCUAUAUACCGCCGUCGUCAGUUUGCCCUGUGAAGGCCACACAGCAAGCACAAUCGGUAAAGCCCAAAACGCCAGGUCGAGGUGUAGCUUACGGGAGGGGAAGAAAUGGGCUACAUUCCCUGUUGCAGGGAAUACGGAAAAUGACUUGAAACAGUCAUUUGAAGGAGGAUUUAGCAGUAAGAAAAGAAAAGAGAGCUUUCCUGAAGUUGGCCCUGAAGCGCGC
rnacentral:rRNA from 1 species